GUCAAUCACCCCACCCUGAAGGGUGGAGCUUGCGGAGAAAUCCAAAAAGCUAGGUUGACCAGGGUAGUGGUAGCCAAUCCACGGCGUUAAUAACAGGUCCUUCAGACACACCAGUGAGUGCUUCCUCAGCUCGCUGCUCUGUA
rnacentral:sRNA from 18 species